GGCGCCGUUCGGCCCGAUCAGGCCGAGGAUCUCCCCCUUGUAGAGGGUGAAGUCCACGUCGUUCAGCGCCACGACGCCGCCG
rnacentral:tRNA from 1 species